UUACGGCCAUAUCAUGUUGAAACACCGGUUCUCGUACGAUUAUCGAAGUUAAACAACGUUGAGCAUGGUCUAUACAUAGAUGGGUGACUGCUUGCGAAUAGGAGGUGUUGUAAU
rnacentral:rRNA from 1 species